rnacentral:rRNA from 1 species
UUGACCUCGGAUCAGGUAGGGAUACCCGCUGAACUUAAGCAUAUCAUAUAGCGCGGGAGAGA